GGAAAAAUACGGACGCGACUUGGGACAUCACUUCCGGAUUGGAGGGCCGGGCUGUGGGAGGUGCAUCUUGCAGCUUCCGGGUGGUGGCUGGAACUGGAACCCUCUAUUUUUGAAACUCGGUUUUCUGAAGAUUUCCAGCUUUGCCGAUUUAGCCCUAAUGGUGCUGCGGGUCUUGUAGUAGUAAAUACUUGUUAUGUGGUGUUCCCUGUUCUGUAAACAGUGAGUCCUGGGUCCGGAGUGGUUCUCAGACCAAGGGUCGUCCACUUUUUAAAAAAUUGCAACUCAUGUAUUUCUUAAGCGGGGGUAGAGAUAGAAUUUAGAAGAGCAAAGCCAAUUUUCUUCUCAUUUCCAGUACAAGGAACGAGUUCUGCGAACUUAGCUAGGAGUAAGGAGAGAUGGAUCAGUAUUGGACCAAGCACUGCUUCAAAAAAAUUAAGAUGAGUACCAUGUGAUCUCACCUUUAACUGGAACCUAAUCAACAAAACAAACAAGCAAAUAAAAUAUAACCAAAGAUAUUGAAAUUAAGAACAAACUGACGGUAGUCAGAGGGGAGGGGGAAAACAUUAAGAGGAGUACCAGCAACAGUGGACCUUUAGGGAAAUCUUUCUGUAUUUCUGUGUAUCUUGUUUAAUCCAACGGAUUUAUUCUCUCUAUAGACCCAAUAUGCCCAAGGUCAAGCACAUUAGGGGGAAAAAGUAGGAUUAAUUCAGGGAGUUUGAUCUCAAAAGGUGCACGUUUAGCAAUUAGCUAUUUCUGCCCUACUCAUAAUUAGAGACUCAUAAAAAUGAGAAGUCAUUUUAUCAAUCUAUUAGAUGAAGCUUUUGAGGUUAUUUAACACAAGGUGUUGACAAGAUGUGAGGAAAUACUAUUAAAGGAAAUAUCGCUUGUGUAACCUUUUGGGGAGGUCCAAUUUGACAAUAUCAGAAAUUAAGUGCUUUGAUUCAGCCAUUUCACUACCAGGAAAUUAUCCAGCAAAAUGAUUCUUGCACUAGUUUGCAAUUACUUACCUACAAAGGUAUUUACUGCAGCAACUUUUUUUGUGGCAAGAAGAAAAGCCAAAAUAAUCUAAGUGCCCGUCUGUGGAGUAACUUAAAUUGUAGUCUGUGAAUACAAUGAGAUAUUAGCAGUCCUUUUUUAAAAAAUAUUUUUAGUGCUGUGCUAUUACAGUUGUCCCAUAUUUUUCUCCCCUUUAUUUUCCUUUGCCCUGCACUCUCCCUCCGACCAGCAUUCCAGGCCAUCCUGCCCCCUUAGUUCCUGUCCAUGGGUUGAACAUGAGUUCUUUGGCUUCUCCAUUUCCCGUACUAUUCUUAACCUCCCCCUAUCUAUUUUGUACAUACCCAUUAUGCUUCUUAUUCCCUAAACCUUUUCUGCCAUUUUCCUCCCUCCCCAUUCCCACUGAUAACCCUCCAUGUGAUCUCCAGUUCUGUGAUUGUGUUCCUGUUGAAUUGUUUGCUUAGUUUGUUUUUGUUUUGUUUUUAGGUUUGGUUGUUAAUAGUUGUGAGUUUGUUGCCAUUUACCAUUUAUAUUUUUUAUCUUUUUCUUAGAUCAGUCCCUUUAACGUUUCAUAUGAAAGGGCUUGGUGAUGAUGUACUCCUUCAACCUGACCUUAUCUGGGAAGCACUUUAUCUGCCCUCUCAUACUAAAUGAUAGCUUUGUUGGAUAGAGUCAUCUUGGAGGGAACAAUGCCUAUGGAGGUGGUGGUGGAGCUGCAGAUUCGGGCGAUUUCUUGCCCAGGGGUGUUCCUGCCUGACAAGCAAGAUGUGUACCUUGGGGUUUACCUCCUGAAUCAGUACCUGGAGACCGACUGCUUUCCCUCUGUGUUUCCUGUUACGAUUCAGCAGAGAAUGAAAUUUAAAAAGUUAUUUGAAAAUGCAAUAGAUCCUGGAGCUGUAGCAGACAUUUUAGAAAGCUUCCUAACCAGGUUUGAAUUAAUACAGCUAGUGCCUCCAGUGUGGGAAGAGUUGGCCUACUAUGAAGAAAACACACGGGAGUUUCUUUUCCCCGAGCCCAAGCUGACACCUCCGAACCCUGGCAUGUGUAGGGAGGUGCUCAUGAAAACGGCUGCAGGUUUUCCCGGCAUUGCUCCCAAAAUAGAGUUUUCUACAAGGACAGCCAUCAGAGAAUGUGUGCUUCUGCAUAGAAACAGAUUUCUUGAAGAAAGUUGUAAGUCACGAAGUCCUUUAUCUACACCAUAUGGACCAAAAUUCCCCUCAAACAAUACACAUGGGAAGCCAAAGGAGCAUAAUCUCAACAAAUCGCCCCAGAGCAUGCAGGCCCGAGUGCCCUCUCCAUAUUCUACCAGGCGUUUCUUCCAGGACCAGCCAGCUCCAGAGAAAAUCUCCAGAGAAAGCAAACCUCCAUUUGUAGUUAGACAUGUGGACAGUGCAAAGCCCUUUGGUGAGGAUAUUUCAGAGCAUCAUUCUGGGAAGUCUAGAAGAAAAUCCAAGUUUUCACACUUUCCCUUUCCCACGAGAAGAGCAUCCUCUCUCGACAGCCAUGCAGCUAACAUAAAGGUUAUCAAAGAGCCAGAUGAACGGAUUGUUUUAAGGAAUGAGUCACCAUCACGGUUAGAUUCAAGUAAGUUUGGAAAGCCCUCGCCCAGUUACGAUAACCAAGGGGAUGCCAGCUGCCGCCUGGAAACUUCAUUUGCCACCUCCCGGCACUCCAGAUCUCCCAGCCCUCGUCUGGAUCGCCCCCCUCACCGAGCAAGGUUCCAUCCUGGUUCUCAGUCCACAUGGAAGAAGAUCCAUGAAAGGGUAUGCAGUCUUCUGACAUCCCACCGAGCUCGGCAACGCCUAAAUGAGGAGGAUUUUAUCUCUGAAGUAAGUCACACCCUUGAAAGACCAAACUACCCUCUGAAGAACUACCCGGUUCGUGCACAGAGAUAUUUUUAAGCUGAUGUCUUCUUAUAUAAUCCCACCUGUAGGGGACACUGAAAGAAAGCUGGAAGAGUAUCAUGAAGAACUCCCUCAUCCAGGCAACUGACACAUCCUUAGGGAAAUGAACAAUUUUUGUUAUGUGUGGGAGUUGCCGGUGUCUAAUCCACUUUAAAUCAAACCCUGUGCUCAAUCUUUUGUACCCAGUUGCUGAUCUAUCAAAGCCUGGACCAUAUUUUCCAAACAUGUUUCACAGGGUCUGGGUUUGCAGAGAGUCUUGGGAAGAUCUUCCUCAUGGAGCCUGGGCCCUGUAAGCAAAGCCACCGUAGAAUGAAGUCAUUUCCCUAUUGUCACCUGACUGACUCAAAGUUAACUGAAGCCUAUAGGCCCUGAAUUCAAAAAAGGGUCUGUUUAUAAUGGGAUGUAAGAUGUCUGUUAGGGCACAUAACCUGCUGUCUCUCAGAUUGCCAGGCAUCUGAAUAAAGUGCCCAUAAAGAUUUAAAAAAU